rnacentral:lncRNA from 1 species
CUCUACAGAUUUCUCUGUCUAGUUUAUCUCUUUACAACUUUCUCUUUCUAGAAUCUUUCUAUCCCUUCAUGGAUUUCUCUUUAGAAAUUUUAUGGACUAGUGAAGCUCUAGGUAUUUCGAUAAACUGGAUCAAUUGGUUGACCCUACGAGGGUCCUUAGAUCUAUAAUAUUUAGAUAUUUUUCAUAAUUUUUAUCGUUCAUGAUUAUCUAUG